AUUGAACGCUGGCGGCAGGCCUAACACAUGCAAGUCGAGCGAGCGGCGGACGGGUGAGUAAUGUAUGUGGACUGCCCGCUAGAGGGGGCUAACUCCGGGAAACGGUCGCUAAUACCGCAUACUAUCGUAUAACCCAUAUGGGAGUAGCUAGUAGGUGAGGUAAUGGCUCACCUGGUCGACGAUCCCUAGCUGGUCUGACAGGAUGACCAGCCAUCCAGGGACGGAGGCACGGCCCGUAUGCCUACGGAGGCAUCAGUGGGGAAUAUUGCACAAUGGGCGCGAGCCUGAUGCAGCCAUGCCGCGUGUAUGACGAGGGCCCUAGGGUUGUAAAGUUCUUUCAGUCGGAAGGCGUUACCGACAGAAGCAGCACCGGCUAAGUCCAUGCCAGCCGCCGCGGUAAUAC
rnacentral:rRNA from 1 species